GUUUGUUUAUCAAAAACAUAAGGUCUCUUUAGCAAAAUGCGCACAACGAAGGGGUAUCGGGUACCCAGAGCCGCCCGAUCUUAUCCGAACGGGCCAGAUUAGCUCCACGAGAUUGUGAACCGGUACACAAUACGGGCCCUUGGAUCGGAGAUCUAUGGCCAGCGACCCAUGUGACCCCUAAACCACCCGAUAGCCGAUCGACGACUGGAUCUUUC
rnacentral:lncRNA from 7 species